UGCAAUGGGUCAAACUCCGCCACCGAUGCCAACCCCUUCUCGUCCACUUGCUCCAUAGGCUCCAAACACUCCUUAUCCAUCAGAGGGAUCGAAUACGCCUGGAGCUGGAGGUUCGCACUUUGGUACUCCACCUCACUUUGGUUAAGGUGGUAAUCAAGUGUUGAGUCCGUUACGGCCUGCUACAUUUUCUUUUUGUUUGGACUAUGUUUUGCUAUCUUGUCACGACAAUUUGUCAUGUUUGUGUCACUUGCGACGGUUUAUGUGAUGUUUGUGUAAUAUGCGAUGUUUAUGCGACGCUUUAUGUGAUGUUUGUGUAAUAUGCGAUGUUUAUGCGACGCUUUAUGUGAUGUUUGCGUAAUAUGCGAUGUUUAUGCGACGCUUUAUGUGAUGUUUGCGUAA